GGGUUGUGAGGUUAAGCGACUAAGCGUACACGGUGGAUGCCCUGGCAGUCAGAGGCGAUGAAGGACGUGCUAAUCUGCGAAAAGCGUCGGUAAGGUGAUAUGAACCGUUACAGCCGGCGAUGUCCGAAUGGGGAAACCCAGUGCAAUUCGUUGCACUAUCGUUAACUGAAUACAUAGGUUAACGAGGCGAACCGGGGGAACUGAAACAUCUAAGUACCCCGAGGAAAAGAAAUCAACCGAGAUUCCCCCAGCAGCGGCGAGCGAACGGGGAGCAGCCCAGAGUCUGAAUCAGCUUGUGUGUUAGUGGAACGGUCUGGAAAGUCCGACGGUACAGGGUGAUAGUCCCGUACACCAAAAUGCACAGGCUGUGAACUCGAAGAGUAGGGCGGGACACGUGGUAUCCUGUCUGAAUAUGGGGGGACCAUCCUCCAAGGCUAAAUACUCCUGACUGACCGAUAGUGAACCAGUACCGUGAGGGAAAGGCGAAAAGAACCCCGGCGAGGGGAGUGAAAAAGAACCUGAAACCGUGUACGUACAAGCAGUGGGAGCACCUUCGGGUGUGACUGCGUACCUUUUGUAUAAUGGGUCAGCGACUUAUAUUCUGUAGCAAGGUUAACCGUAUAGGGGAGCCGCAGGGAAACCGAGUCUUAACUGGGCGUUAAGUUGCAGGGUAUAGACCCGAAACCCGGUGAUCUAGCCAUGGGCAGGUUGAAGGUUGGGUAACACUAACUGGAGGACCGAACCGACUAAUGUUGAAAAAUUAGCGGAUGACUUGUGGCUGGGGGUGAAAGGCCAAUCAAACCGGGAGAUAGCUGGUUCUCCCCGAAAGCUAUUUAGGUAGCGCCUCGUGAAUUCAUCUUCGGGGGUAGAGCACUGUUUCGGCUAGGGGGUCAUCCCGACUUACCAACCCGAUGCAAACUACGAAUACCGAAGAAUGUUAUCACGGGAGACACACGGCGGGUGCUAACGUCCGUCGUGAAGAGGGAAACAACCCAGACCGCCAGCUAAGGUCCCAAAGUCACAGUUAAGUGGGAAACGAUGUGGGAAGGCACAGACAGCCGGGAUGUUGGCUUAGAAGCAGCCAUCAUUUAAAGAAAGCGUAAUAGCUCACUGGUCGAGUCGGCCUGCGCGGAAGAUGUAACGGGGCUAAACUGUGCACCGAAGCUGCGGCAGCGACACUAUGUGUUGUUGGGUAGGGGAGCGUUCUGUAAGCCUGCGAAGGUGGCCUGUGAGGGUUGCUGGAGGUAUCAGAAGUGCGAAUGCUGACAUAAGUAACGAUAAUGCGGGUGAAAAGCCCGCACGCCGGAAGACCAAGGGUUCCUGUCCAACGUUAAUCGGGGCAGGGUGAGUCGACCCCUAAGGCGAGGCCGAAAGGCGUAGUCGAUGGGAAACAGGUUAAUAUUCCUGUACUUGGUGUUACUGCGAAGGGGGGACGGAGAAGGCUAUGUUAGCCGGGCGACGGUUGUCCCGGUUUAAGCAUGUAGGCGGAGGUUCCAGGUAAAUCCGGUACCUUUUAACGCUGAGGUGUGAUGACGAGGCACUACGGUGCUGAAGUAACAAAUGCCCUGCUUCCAGGAAAAGCCUCUAAGCAUCAGGUAACAUUAAAUCGUACCCCAAACCGACACAGGUGGUCAGGUAGAGAAUACCAAGGCGCUUGAGAGAACUCGGGUGAAGGAACUAGGCAAAAUGGUGCCGUAACUUCGGGAGAAGGCACGCUGAUAUGUAGGUGAAGCCCCUGCGGGUGGAGCUGAAAUCAGUCGAAGAUACCAGCUGGCUGCAACUGUUUAUUAAAAACACAGCACUGUGCAAACACGAAAGUGGACGUAUACGGUGUGACGCCUGCCCGGUGCCGGAAGGUUAAUUGAUGGGGUUAUCCGUAAGGAGAAGCUCUUGAUCGAAGCCCCGGUAAACGGCGGCCGUAACUAUAACGGUCCUAAGGUAGCGAAAUUCCUUGUCGGGUAAGUUCCGACCUGCACGAAUGGCGUAAUGAUGGCCAGGCUGUCUCCACCCGAGACUCAGUGAAAUUGAACUCGCUGUGAAGAUGCAGUGUACCCGCGGCAAGACGGAAAGACCCCGUGAACCUUUACUAUAGCUUGACACUGAACAUUGAGCCUUGAUGUGUAGGAUAGGUGGGAGGCUUUGAAGCGUGGACGCCAGUCUGCGUGGAGCCAACCUUGAAAUACCACCCUUUAAUGUUUGAUGUUCUAACGUUGGCCCCUUAUCGGGGUUGCGGACAGUGUCUGGUGGGUAGUUUGACUGGGGCGGUCUCCUCCCAAAGAGUAACGGAGGAGCACGAAGGUUAGCUAAUCUGGUCGGACAUCAGGAGGUUAGUGCAAUGGCAUAAGCUAGCUUGACUGCGAGCGUGACGGCGCGAGCAGGUGCGAAAGCAGGUCAUAGUGAUCCGGUGGUUCUGAAUGGAAGGGCCAUCGCUCAACGGAUAAAAGGUACUCCGGGGAUAACAGGCUGAUACCGCCCAAGAGUUCAUAUCGACGGCGGUGUUUGGCACCUCGAUGUCGGCUCAUCACAUCCUGGGGCUGAAGUAGGUCCCAAGGGUAUGGCUGUUCGCCAUUUAAAGUGGUACGCGAGCUGGGUUUAGAACGUCGUGAGACAGUUCGGUCCCUAUCUGCCGUGGGCGCUGGAGAAUUGAGGGGGCUGCUCCUAGUACGAGAGGACCGGAGUGGACGCAUCACUGGUGUUCGGGUUGUCAUGCCAAUGGCAUUGCCCGGUAGCUAAAUGCGGAAGAGAUAAGUGCUGAAAGCAUCUAAGCACGAAACUUGCCCCGAGAUGAGUUCUCCCUGAGACUUUAAGUCUCCUGAAGGAACGUUAAAGACGAUGACGUUGAUAGGUCGGGUGUGUAAGCGUAGCGAUACGUUGAGCUAACCGAUACUAAUGAACCGUGAGGCUUAACCUUACAACGCCGAAGGUGUUU
rnacentral:rRNA from 1 species